AUUGAACGCUGGCGGCAUGCCUUACACAUGCAAGUCGAACGGCAGCACGGGUGCUUGCACCUGGUGGCGAGUGGCGAACGGGUGAGUAAUACAUCGGAACAUGUCCUGUAGUGGGGGAUAGCCCGGCGAAAGCCGGAUUAAUACCGCAUACGAUCUACGGAUGAAAGCGGGGGACCUUCGGGGCUCGCGCUAUAGGGUUGGCCGAUGGCUGAUUAGCUAGUUGGGGGGGUAAAGGCCUACCAAGGCGACGAUCAGUAGCUGGUCUGAGAGGACGACCAGCCACACUGGGACUGAGACACGGCCCAGACUCCUACGGGAGGCAGCAGUGGGGAAUUUUGGACAAUGGGCGAAAGCCUGAUCCAGCAAUGCCGCGUGUGUGAAGAAGGCCUUCGGGUUGUAAAGCACUUUUGUCCGGAAAGAAAUCCUUGGCCCUAAUACGGUCGGGGGAUGACGGUACCGGAAGAAUAAGCACCGGCUAACUACGUG
rnacentral:rRNA from 1 species